UGUGUAAUCAAAACAUAUAUAAGUAAAGUGAUUUCGGUAUAACACAGACAAGACAAGCUGAGCUGCCGACCCUCCACUCAGUGUCUGUCUCAUUCUCUUGUCGCCGACUCCACACCUCCUCUCAGGAUCUGAACCCGCUGGAGCUGGACUCUGGGAGAGCAGGAAAAGAUAAAUUAUUACUGAAGCUGGACCUGCUAACUGGAUCUAGAGAUGGCUUGGGGUUGGCAGAGGGUUAUGAAGACUGCAGAGUUGGGGCUGAGUAGCUCUUGCUCUCUGAAGUCUCCACCCAGUCCAGAUGGUGACCAAGGCCUCAGGGAAGGUAACGCUGCCCCUCUGCAGAAUGGAAGUGGUACAUGGGACUGAUCUUAUUCUCCAUCUCCUUCCUUAUGAGCUGACCUCACAUUUGCGGCACCGGUGGAAGCCAUCAUGGGGGUGGGGAGCCUCACUGGGAUCCUCACAUGGCCUGUGGAACCUGGAGUGUGGACACCAGAAGUGAAGUCUGAACCAUCAUGGGGAGCUCCUGGGGAGAACCUGGCAACUUUCAUCACUGGGGCAGCUGGAAGGACAGCGAUGCACCAUGCAUGGUGGCCAAGCCAUGAUGAGCUUGUCUGUGGUGAGCUGGGUGAGAGAAUUUAGAAGAGCUCCAUACCUAGCAAUGCAAACAUGAGAUGCCACAUCUAUGUGCAUUGCGGACAUGAGGAGGCACAGAAGUUCUUAGGUCAGGAUGCACACCUACACAUAGUGUUCUGUAAUUUUACCUGGAAAACACAGUAGGUCUUUUAAAGUCAGUCAAAUCUCAUUAAGAACUAACUGUCCAUGUCAAGGAGAGGACUGUAUGUUUUGAACAGUGUUCCUGAAGAAACUUCCAUGUGAGGUGUGCGGGGAAUGCGACCAUACACUGGUAGAGGUCACUUUUCCAUGUUUCAUUCAUGUUUGAUGCUUCAUUCAGCAAAUAUUCAUUGACAACCUUUUCAGUAUAUGUUACAAUCUGGAUCCAAAGUAUCCCCCCAAGCCCAGGUAUUGAGGCUUGAUGCCCAGCCUGUGGGGUUCUCGAGCCUCAUUUAAUGCAAUCUCUGUUUUAAGAAGUCUAUCUCCAAACACAGUGGCAUUCCAGAUAUGAGUUUAGGGGGAGUCAGGGCUUCCAGAUGCAAAUAUAGGAAGAUUGUAAUCCAGUGGCACUUAAGCCUGAUCCGUUUAGAUGAGAAACAGUAAAGGGACAAAAAUGAGUCAGAAACCCUUAGUUCUCAGCAGCUGGAGAGAAGGGAAUCAGCACAGAGGGUUGAAAGAGAGUUCUGAGAAGCAGGAAGAAGGUCAGGAGAGAGGAGGAGUCUGAAGUCAGAGGACUCUGUUGUCCCUGAGGUCACUGCUAAGUGGAAGUCAGCUGCCCUGGGUGCUUCUGAUGGUGAUGAGAACUCCUAUCACCCAUGAGGAGGGAAAUACAAUGACUAAGGCUUGACUGAGUGUGGGGUUUAUGCUCAGACCACUGAAAUUCCCCAGUCCUGGGAAGCUGAGUACUGCUCAUCUCUGCACUCUGAAGAUAAUCAAAUUGUACUUUGGAGAGAGUAGAUCACACACCUCAUCAGGAAAAUAUACCUAAUUUUCAAAGCUCACUGCAAAAUGAAAAUUCAAGGAAACUGGAAUAACAUGGCAACUGCAGACUGAGACCAGCUUGUCUGAGCCUGGUCUUGUCAUUGCCAGCACAAAUGAUCCCUAAAAUUGUGCUGGGCUUCCCACCUGAAGUUCUGGAGCCAUGUCCUGAGACCCCAACAUGGAGGAGGCCCCCAAAACCAUCUCUCUGAUGGCUCAGCACAAGUACUUGUCAGGGUGUUCCCAGAGGGUGGGUGGAAUGCCAGGACUGCCUAAUAGAAGCUCCUCAUUUGAAAAUGAAUUAAGGACUCUGUGCCUUCCAGCUGUGACCAUGAAAUCCACACUACUGCACAUGGGACUAGGAUGUGAGAAAUGAAGAUUGUAUCCAGGUCGGAGAUUUAUUUGAGUUGACACUUUCCGCCACGAUGCUAUUUUGAGCCUUUCUCAGUGUUUAUUGCUGCUGUGCCUUCUCAAGUCCCAAGCAGAUAUCGCACCAGAGAGCCUCUGCUGACCAAUGUGGAGCUUGGUACCUGGGUCAGAGGGACAGAGCACUAUGUCCACCCCUGCAUUUAGUUAGAUGCACAUUCAUAAGGCAGCAAUUUUUUCUUGCCCUUCUUUUUUCUUGAGGGGUGCUCGGUCUUCAUGGGAAGCACCGCUGUGCCACUGUUCCAGGUUUUUAAAUGACUUUCUCCACAGUCAUCAGCUUUGUUAUUAUCUCUGCUUCUCCAACACCUGGUCUUACUUCAGAAAUUAUCUGCCAUCUGGUCCAAUCCUAAGUAAUUAUAACAACUUAAUGGCAGGAUGAAAUAUUGUUUGUUAAGAGACUUGGUAGUCUUCUCCAAGAGUUAGAUAGCAUUAAAUUAAGCUCUGCCAUUACCUUAGCAAAUGUGUUUCCUUUGUAGACUCUCAGCCUGGUGCGCUGGAGGAGGUCCAGGAGUUGCCUUGGUGGUGUUCUUUCCCGAGUGUCAGGAAGAGCUGUGUGAGUUGCUUCUCAGGUCAUUCAUGUUAUACUUGCUCAUGAUUUCCGUUGUGUGUUUACACAGGAAGCACUCCAUGGAUUGAGUGUGACAAGCACGAACUUGGGGUCACACUAAGUCACCCAUUUCUUCCUAGGAUCACUCACUGGCUGAAAUACCCCCUCUUUUCAAUGCAGCAUUUGGGACAGGGAUGUUCAUGUGGAACAUUUUGCUGUGAGGAGCAGGACACAUCUGCUAGAAGACGUACUUCACAGCAGUGUGUAUGCUAGCUGGAGGCUGGUCCAGGAGCAAAAGUGCCCUGAUGCUGUGUUUGGAACCUUAUCUCCUGGAGCCACUGCCCAGGCUGGACCUGAAUCCGGCUCUGGACCUGGUUCCCUGAUUCUGCGUUCUUGGCCAGGGAAGUGUUGAUGUCUCUUUCCCAUGGGUGAUGCAGACUUACAGUGGCCAUAUGGGAGAGCCCUGAUGAAGAACACCCAGCUAGGGUUCUUCAGUGCUCAGACCAGUUCCUGGCACACAGUGCCAUGUAAGUGCUGCUAAGCAAUCAUGACCAUGGCAAACCAUCUGUCCAUAAAUAGGAAAGCAAACUGCCUGUUAUUAUUUACAUCUGUAUGUCCUCCACAAGCCUCAUGGGCUCAUAGGUGGGACUUUGGGGAGGUGAUUGAUCCUGGAGCAUGAUAGUCAUCAGUGGAUUCCUCUACUGGUGACUUUAUAGCUAAAUGUAACUCUGGGAGAUGGGGCCUGGUCUAAGGGUACAAGUCAUCAAGACCCAGAAGGGUGUAUCUCCCUUCCUUGUUCCUGCCUUCAUGAUCUCUGCUUCCGGUCUGCCAUGCUGUGAGCAGAUCUCCUCCACCAGGCACCUCUGCCAUGCCGCCCUGUGUUAGAGCCAGUUGACUAUGGCCCAAAAAAUGAGCCAAAAUAAGCCUCUAUUAAAGUUGCAGGUGUUGGAUAUUGUGUCUCACAGUGAGAAAGCAACUGAGACAUAGUCACAGAGGACUGGAUGGGAUUCCAUACAAUUUGGGUGGAUAAAAAUGUCUUUGGAUGAGAGAAGACACACACCGCACACAUCCUGAAGCUUCUGGCCUUCUGAGCUGAAUGGUAGCUUCCACAGCAUUUUCUACCUGUGUCACCUCUGAGACCAGGAUAGCUGGGUCCUGCUGAGUGACCACACAUGAAGGCUGCCUCGGCAGCCUUAGCACACUCUUGCUCUACCUUUAGUGUGCCUGUCCAGCUUCUUGCUGAGUUUACUCAUCCAGCAACCAUUCACUGAGCAUGAGAGGAGCCACUGUGGAUACAGGAUGUAGUCAGGAAAGAGCACUGCUCAAGUAAAGAUGAGCCAGAUGGUGAGAGUGGAGAAAGGACCCAGGACUGUCUGGGUGGGCUUGGUUCAUGGGCGCUGUUGGGGACAGAAGGCAGAGGGGGAGACUUGCUGAUGGAGGCCUUAGAGACUGCAUAGGUCCAAAAGGGACACUUGGACUGUGUCUGGUGCAGAGGGGCAGGGCCUGGAGUCACAGGGAGGGACACAGGCUAAGGUCCUCAGUUGUCCUGGCUGCCCCUGUGGGCCUGGACAUUCCCUGCUCUUCACAUCAGGGAUGUGGACUGCAGCUUCUUCCCCAGCUUUGGGAACUGCAGAAUGGAGUUGGACAUGGCUGGAGAGGGAGCACUUACCACACACGGGAAGGAGCAAGUUUGCCCCAGAGAGCUCUUCACCUCUCACUCCUCAUCCUGUCUCCAUUCCUCUCAGUCCCUGAUUUCCUGCAUGUUAUGGGGCUGCUUUCCCCUUCCUGUCUCCAUGGGACACCACUGGGCUCUGCCCCACUGUCACCUGCAAAGCUGCGAGCUCCAUUUUCUCCUGAGGAGCAGGUUCUGGUGCUGUGAGGCCCAAACCACAGAAAU